rnacentral:rRNA from 1 species
UACGGAGGGAGCUAGCGUUGUUCGGAAUUACUGGGCGUAAAGCGCACGUAGGCGGCUUUGUAAGUUAGAGGUGAAAGCCCGGGGCUCAACUCCGGAACUGCCUUUAAGACUGCAUCGCUUGAAUCCAGGAGAGGUGAGUGGAAUUCCGAGUGUAGAGGUGAAAUUCGUAGAUAUUCGGAAGAACACCAGUGGCGGAGGCGGCUCACUGGACUGGUAUUGACGCUGAGGUGCGAAAGCGUGGGGAGCAAACAGG